rnacentral:rRNA from 1 species
GGGCCCGCACAAGCGGUGGAGUAUGUGGUUUAAUUCGAUGCAACGCGAAGAACCUUACCAACACUUGACAUGUUCGUCGCGACUUUAAGAGAUUAAAGUUUUCGGUUCGGCCGGACGAAACACAGGUGCUGCAUGGCUGUCGUCAGCUCGUGUCGUGAGAUGUUGGGUUAAGUCCCGCAACGAGCGCAACCCUCACUUUUAGUUGCCAUCAUUUAGUUGGGCACUCUGAAAGAACUGCCAGUGAUAAGCUGGAGGAAGGUGGGGAUGACGUCAAGUCCUCAUGGCCCUUACGUGUUGGGCUACACACGUGCUACAAUGGUAUCUACAACAGGAAGCAAGACUGCGAGGUCAAGCAAAUCCUUAAAAGAUACCUCAGUUCGGAUUGCACUCUGCAACUCGAGUGCAUGAAGCUGGAAUUACUAGUAAUCGU